UCGUGGUGUGCGGAUAUUUUUUUCGCGUUUAUUCUGUGUGUAAUCAAAUUCGUUCCGCCAAACGGAGAAAAACUUGUGACCAAGCCUAUUGCCGGCUAAAAUUUUGCAAUUUUAAUAAAUUGGUUAUUUAAUUACCUAACUCAUAUAAAACGAAAACAUACGACAAAUAGGAAGCAGCAAAGGGUGCAAAAGCGAAUGCAUUUGUGCUAACCGCCAGCGCACGCAAAUGUUUGUAGUAAGUGUCACAUCAAUAGAGCAUAUGCUUGUACAUAAAUAACUGUAAAACAAGAGUAAAUAAAAUAAGUGUAACGUCGAAAAAAAAAUCAUGUGAUGUGGUCAUAAAAGGGUUUACAUGUGUUUAUUAUCAAUUAAGCAAGUGUCACAGCACACCCAAGGCGAUGAAGGAGCCGAUAAAAAUUGAUACGCUCUACAUGCUACCUACAACACCCUCAAUGGUUUGCACAUGGUUUGCAGUGUGCUUCGUGGCUGCUGUUGUGUGAGUGCGUGUCCAAAUCCCAUCGCGUGUCAGGACAGUGAUCGAUGAGCAAUUGAAAGAGAAUAGCAAAAUAGUCACUUAAAUAAUUGAAUAAAAUCGGUGGAAAAUAGAAAAGUAAAGUGAGCGCAAAGGUUGUCUACUUAUGAGAAUUGUGAUGCCCUUCAAUCGCCACGCAGCAGCAAUUAAGUAACAAAAAAAAAAAA